GACAGAGGUGCCAAGCGUUAGGCGGAAUCACUGGGCUUAAAAGCGUGUGUAGGCGGAUGCCUAAGUAUCUUGUGAAAUCCCACGGCUCAACCGUGGAACUGCUUGAUAUACUGGGUGUCUUGAGCCAUCUAGGGGCUACCGGAACAAAUGGUGGAGCGGUGAAAUGCGUAGAUAUCGCUUGGAACGCCAACGGUGAAAACAGGUUGCUGGGGUUGUGCCGACGCUGAGACACG
rnacentral:rRNA from 1 species